AGUGAACGCUGGCGGUAGGCCUAACACAUGCAAGUCGAACGGCAGCACAGUAAGAGCUUGCUCUUACGGGUGGCGAGUGGCGGACGGGUGAGGAAUACAUCGGAAUCUACUUUUUCGUGGGGGAUAACGUAGGGAAACUUACGCUAAUACCGCAUACGACCUACGGGUGAAAGCAGGGGAUCUUCGGACCUUGCGCGAUUGAAUGAGCCGAUGUCGGAUUAGCUAGUUGGCAGGGUAAAGGCCCACCAAGGCGACGAUCCGUAGCUGGUCUGAGAGGAUGAUCAGCCACACUGGAACUGAGACACGGUCCAGACUCCUACGGGAGGCAGCAGUGGGGAAUAUUGGACAAUGGGCGCAAGCCUGAUCCAGCCACACCGCGUGAGUGAAGAAGGCCUUCGGGUUGUAAAGCCCUUUUGUUGGGAAAGAAAAGCAGCAGGUUAAUCCCCCGCUGUUCUGACGGUACCCAAAGAAUAAGCACCGGCUAACUUCGUG
rnacentral:rRNA from 1 species